UAGAGUUUGAUCCUGGCUCAGGAUGAACGCUGGCGGCGUGCCUAAUACAUGCAAGUCGAGCGAUGAGGCUCCUUCGGGAGUACAUCAGCGGCGAACGGGUGAGUAACACGUGGGUGACUUGCCCCGAAGAUGGGGAUAACCUCUGGAAACGGGGGCUAAUACCCAAUGUGCUCGGUGAUUCGGUUCAUCGAGUAAAGCUCCGGCGCUUCGGGAGAGGCCUGCGGCCCAUCAGCUAGUUGGUAGGGUAACGGCCUACCAAGGCAGAGACGGGUAGGGGGCGUGAGAGCGCGGACCCCCACACUGGCACUGAGAUACGGGCCAGACUCCUACGGGAGGCAGCAGUAAGGGAUAUUGCGCAAUGGACGAAAGUCAGACGCAGCGACGCCGCGUGGGCGAUGAAGGCCUUCGGGUUGUAAAGCCCUUUUAUGGGGGAAGAGAAAAAGGACGGUACCCCAGGAAUAAGUCCCGGCUAACUACGUGCCAGCAGCCGCGGUAAAACGUAGGGGACAAGCGUUAUCCGGAUUCACUGGGCGUAAAGAGCGUUGAGGCGGUUCCGUAAGUUGGGCGUGAAAGCUCCGGGCUUAACUCGGAGAUGUCGUUCAAUACUGCGGGGCUUGAGGACAGCAGAGGAAGGUGGAAUUUCCCGGUGUAGUGGUGAAAUGCG
rnacentral:rRNA from 1 species